GUCUGAUAAAUUAUUAGCAGGCAGCUAAUUGACUUUAAUUCACUUAAACAUGAGAGCAGUAGAGCAACACUUCACAUCAAAAUUAACUUAAGCUAAAGUGGAUUAACCAAAAUGAAAAGAGCAAAGAGAAUCACAUUUUAAAGUUAUGAAGCGUGUUAAAGGGUAAAUCAUGAAACAUAUGAAACACAGCUCUGACAGUGGUUUCUCACCUCUGGCGCAGUCGUGCGUGAAUAAAUCCAAAGAUAACUAAACUCACAAUGAUGAACACAGUUACACAAAUCAGUGUAAGAGGAACUGUUUCUGUUCCAGACCUGCUGCUUAGUUCUUUAUGAAGAGAAAAGCAGUUGUUAGAAACAUGGACGUAGUAUUUGCAUUACUACUGAACAAAGGUUAAGUGUGAUGUAUGACUAUUGGCCUCAAAGUUAACAAAUCCUGAAGGUCACCUUGUAAAAUCAGUACAGACUUUAUAUUGCUAAAUAUUUAUGGUUAAAGAAGAACAGUAUUGUUUACCUUGUUUACCAUCCACAGUGACAUUAAGAUGGAGAAUUUUUGUUCCAUCAAUAGUUGUACACUGACAGCUGUAGCUCCCACUGUCCUCUGAUGUUAAAUUGAUCAGGUGGAGAAACACAGUCUGAUUUUCUUUCAUCAGUGUGAACCUGGAGUCACAUUUCUGUUCAAAGCCCCGUGCAUGUUCAUACAGCAGACUACAAUAUCCUCCUCCACUUCUCUGAGUUCUGAUCGUACAAACUAUCAGUGUGAUCAUGUUCUGUGUUUCAUUGGUGCAUAUUUGAGUGACAUCUGGUUGUUUCCCAAUUGUUUUCACAACAGUUU
ensembl:lncRNA